rnacentral:lncRNA from 1 species
CGUCACCGCCGGCGCCUUCGCCGCGGGAGGCGACCGCCAGGAAGAGGAGGGCGAUGAGAAGCGCGCGCGCGCGCGGGCGGCGGCGGGGAGGCGGCAUUGGACUGGGGGCUAGGGUUCUGGGCUCGAGGUGGCGAGGUGGUGGUGGUGGGGCAUGGAGGUGGCAGUGGCGGAGCAGAGAGCUGGAUGCUUCGCGUGGUCGGGUCACUGGAGCACGCUGGGGGACGGCGCUUUAGUAAGACGACGGGGUUAAUUAGCAGGCAAGCACGCACGCACGCACGCACGGCCAUGGUAGCAGGAUAUCACACGGGCUCCCU